rnacentral:lncRNA from 1 species
GUGAAAAACUUUUCAUAAUUUGUUGGUCUCUGAUGUAUAAGCCCAUGCUAACACAUUUGAAGCUUUUAACUCUAAAUAAUUACAAAGUCUUGAGCAACUUUAGUCGUUUUUUGAUUAGUUUACUUUGGUUUUGCAGUAAAACUAGAGAAGAAGGAGAACCACAAAUAAAGGAAGCAAAAAGUAUGAAAUCGGAAGCAAAUGAUGAGCUAAGUGUGGCUGACGACAUCUAUGACACGUCGUCAACCUGGUGAUAGGCUGUCAAGAAUGCCGUCAAACUUAAGUAGAAGAGGGGAGUUGCAGGAAGUUUUGUGACGACCUUCAUGACACGCCGUCAAGAUCCUGAUAGGCCAUCACUGUCAUCGUCAACCUUAGGCAGCAGAAGCUGAAGUUGCAGAGAAGUUGACGAUGUCUGUGAUAGGCCGUCAAAAUCAUGAUAGGCCGUCACAAUCGCUGUCAUCUAUUCUGAAGAAAAUAUGAAACUUUAAUUUUAUUUUCUUAUUUAGGGUUAACUAUUUAAAUCCUUGUUUUAGGGUUUUUCUAUGAUGCAUCAAUUAAUUGACAUAUCCUACGAUAUACGACUUUUUCUUCUCUCUCAAAGAAGAAGAUAAAUAUUUUGGUGGUUUGCCUUGUGAUUAAAUUGAAAGAAUACUUUUGAUUUCCUUCAUUAUUGUAAGUCAAUCCUUUCAAUUAUGAAUUCAACUUGUGUGCUUAUUUCCUGCAUCAUGAGUAGCUAAACAC